GAUGAACGCUGGCGGCGUGCCUAAUACAUGCAAGUCGAGCGAAUGGAUUAAGAGCUUGCUCUUAUGAAGUUAGCGGCGGACGGGUGAGUAACACGUGGGUAACCUGCCCAUAAGACUGGGAUAACUCCGGGAAACCGGGGCUAAUACCGGAUAACAUUUUGAACCGCAUGGUUCGAAAUUGAAAGGCGGCUUCGGCUGUCACUUAUGGAUGGACCCGCGUCGCAUUAGCUAGUUGGUGAGGUAACGGCUCACCAAGGCAACGAUGCGUAGCCGACCUGAGAGGGUGAUCGGCGACACUGGGACUGAGACACGGCCCAGACUCCUACGGGAGGCAGCAGUAGGGAAUCAUCCGCAAUGGACGAAAGUCUGACGGAGCAACGCCGCGUGAGUGAUGAAGGCUUUCGGGUCGUAAAACUCUGUUGUUAGGGAAGAACAAGUGCUAGUUGAAUAAGCUGGCACCUUGACGGUACCUAACCAGAAAGCCACGGCUAACUACGUGCCAGCCACCGCGGUAA
rnacentral:rRNA from 1 species